rnacentral:rRNA from 1 species
AUUGAACGCUGGCGGCAGGCCGAACACAUGCAAGUCGAACGAGUGGCGGACGGGUGAGUAAUGUGUGGGAAACUGCCUGAUGGAGGGGGAUAACUACUGGAAACGGUAGCUAAUACCGCAUACCAUCGGAUGUGCCCAGAUGGGAUUAGCUAGUAGGUGGGGUAAAGGCUCACCUAGGCGACGAUCCCUAGCUGGUCUGAGGAUGACCUGCCAAACUGGAACUGAGAAACGGUCCCGACUCCUACGGGAGGAGGCGGUGGGGAAUGUUGCACAAUGGGCGCAAGCCGGAUGCAGCCCUGCCGCGUGUAUUAAGAAGGCCUUCGGGUUGUAAAGUACUUUCAGCGGGUAGGCGUUACCCUCAGAAGAAGCCCCGGCUAACUCCGUGCCAGCAGCCGCGGUAAUUC